GAACAGGCCAAUGUUCACUCUGUUUCUUCAAUCAAUUCUUCGGGACAAAUUGAUCUGCCUCCACUGAAUAGCUUCGGAGUACAUUCCCUAACUAUUAAGCCAAUAGUGAAAUAAGUAUUUACGAAGAGAUUCUAAGUGAAGAAACUUAUAUAACAAAAGCAGCAAAUGCUACAUCUUUCGAGCAGAAGAAGAAAGAAAUCUUUCUGAAUGGAAAUCUACAGCUUGUUUUGUGAUUUCCCCAGCUCAGUUACCAGAAUGAACAGAUUUAUUCACACAAUCAAUAGUUCAAGAAUGUUUCUCCGCUUGUUGGAAGAGCUAUCCUAUGACUGCAAUGGAAGGAGAGGAAAGGACCUGUGGCAGAAGAUUGUCAUAUCCUUUUAAUCUUCAAGAGCCUGCAUGCUAAGAACAGAGUGUGAAGAAUCAUCUAAGAAGGCCCUGAGAUGCUUCCUCUUUCUGGCUAGGACCCCACUGGAAUCAAAAGGGGAGAGGGAAAUCUCCUUUCAAAGGAAUGCAAUGUUCUGAUAUUUUGCGCUUAUGAACAUUUAUAAAAUACAGGUAAUGUGGAAUUCAGAAGCUGAAUAGAGGUUUGAAAAAUACUAUGCAUGGAUUGAAGAAUCAAAGGAAGGAGUGUUUAAAAUUGGGAAAAAAAUGUUCUGAUUAACUAAGAACUUGGAAAGUGAAGAAUUGGAUAGUGGACAGAAAUGAAACUAAUGUCCAUGCCUUUGAAACCUUGGUACGUACAGAAGCCAUGCUGCAGAGCAGAAAACAAAACAGCAUAAUUUGAUAUGAAUAAAGAAGCUUUGUUGCUGGAAUGCAGGAAGAAGAUCGCUAGAAUAUUUAAUAUUUUAAUAGCAUCUUUGAAAUGCACAGUAAUUGCUUUCAUGAUUAAUUUGAAAAAUGGAUUUAAAAUGUGUUUAUUCUGCCUAGAAACAUCAUUACAACUGAUUUGGGUGAGGGGAGAAACAAGAC